GACGAACGCUGGCGGCGUGCUUAACACAUGCAAGUCGAACGCUGAAGCUCAGCUUGCUGGGUGGAUGAGUGGCGAACGGGUGAGUAACACGUGAGUAACCUGCCCUCUUCUUUGGGAUAACGCCCGGAAACGGGUGCUAAUACUGGAUAUUCACUGAUUCUCGCAUGGGGGUUGGUGGAAAGGUUUUUUCUGGUGGGGGAUGGGCUCGCGGCCUAUCAGCUUGUUGGUGGGGUGAUGGCCUACCAAGGCUUUGACGGGUAGCCGGCCUGAGAGGGUGACCGGGCACAUUGGGACUGAGAUACGGCCCAGACUCCUACGGGAGGCAGCAGUGGGGAAUAUUGCACAAUGGGCGAAAGCCUGAUGCAGCGACGCCGCGUGAGGGAUGGAGGCCUUCGGGUUGUAAACCUCUUUCGCUCAUGGUCAAGCCGCAGCUUGGGGUUGUGGUGAGGGUAGUGGGUAAAGAAGCGCCGGCUAACUACGUG
rnacentral:rRNA from 1 species